ensembl:snRNA U6 U6 spliceosomal RNA
GUGCUCACUUUUUGCAGCACACAUACUACAGUGGAGGCAAUACAGAGCAGACUGGCUUGGCCGUGCUCAAGGGUGACACAUAAUUUUGGGAAGUAGCUUAUGAUAAA